rnacentral:piRNA from 1 species
UGGAAUGGAACAGGAGUAUACUC